rnacentral:rRNA from 1 species
UACGUAGGGUGCGAGCGUUGUCCGGAAUUAUUGGGCGUAAAGAGCUCGUAGGCGGUGUGUCACGUCGGCCGUGAAAACCUGCAGCUUAACUGUGGGCGUGCGGUCGAUACGGGCAUCACUGGAGUUCGGCAGGGGAGACUGGAAUUCCUGGUGUAGCGGUGAAAUGCGCAGAUAUCAGGAGGAACACCGGUGGCGAAGGCGGCAUCCUGGACCAACACUGACGCUGAGUGAGCGAAAGCCAGGGGAGCAAACGGGG